UACGUAGGUGGCGAGCGUUGUCCGGAAUUACUGGGCGUAAAGGGAGCGUAGGCGGUUUUUUAAGUGGGAUGUGAAAUCCCCGGGCUCAACCUGGGAAUUGCAUUCCAAACUGGGAAACUAGAGUGCAGGAGAGGAAAGUGGAAUUCCAAGUGUAGCGGUGAAAUGCGUAGAGAUUUGGAGGAACACCAGUGGCGAAGGCGACUUUCUGGACUGUAACUGACGCUGAGGCUCGAGAGCGUGGGGAGCAAACAGG
rnacentral:rRNA from 2 species